rnacentral:misc_RNA from 1 species
GAUGAAGAACGUAGCGAAAUGCGAUUCGUAAUGUGAAUUGCAAAUUCAGUGAAUCAUCGAGUCUUUGAACGCACAUUGCGCCCCCUGGUAUUCCGGGGGGCAUGCCUGUCCGAGCGUCAUUGCUGCCCUCAAGCACGGCUUGUGUGUUGGGCCCCGUCCUCCGAUCCCGGGGGACGGGCCCGAAAGGCAGCGGCGGCACCGCGUCCGGUCCUCGAGCGUAUGGGGCUUUGUCACCCGCUCUGUAGGCCCGGCCGGCGCUUGCCGAUCAACCCAAAUUUUUAUCCAGGUUGACCUCGGAUCAGGUAGGGAUACCCGCUGAACUUAAGCAUAUCAAUAAGCGGAGGA